rnacentral:sRNA from 1 species
GUCCUGGUCUGCGUGGAGGUCGACGACUCCGUCGCAGACUACGGACCUGUCUGGGUCUCAGCCGCCAAAGACCCCGUCCGGUAGGUGAGUGGCUCACUUUGAGGGCAAGCCUUCUCGGAUCGAGGCUUCUUCAUGGCCGCUCUCUUUGCGGAGGAUGGCGUCUAAUGAGCGCAGUUGAUUCGAGGAAGUACUAGCCGGACAUCAUGAGUGGCUGUCGGGUAUUCAUCGGGAGACUAAAUCCAGCGGCCAGGGAGAAGGACGUGGAAAGAUUCUUCAAGGGAUAUGGACGGAUAAGAGAUAUUGAUCUGAAAAGAGGCUUUGGUUUUGUGGAAUUUGAGGAUCCAAGGGAUGCAGAUGAUGCUGUGUAUGAGCUUGAUGGAAAAGAACUCUGUAGUGAAAGGGUUACUAUUGAACAUGCUAGGGCUCGGUCACGAGGUGGAAGAGGUAGAGGACGAUACUCUGACCGUUUUAGUAGUCGCAGACCUCGAAAUGAUAGACGAAAUGCUCCACCUGUAAGAACAGAAAAUCGUCUUAUAGUUGAGAAUUUAUCCUCAAGAGUCAGCUGGCAGGUUUGUUGAAAUACAGUUUUGAGUUAUUUUGAUGUGGCUUUUUAAAAAAGUUAAUGGGUAGCUAAUGUUUUAUUGUUUUAUUAAACGUAGUUUUAAAUUAAUGGAUUUAAUGGAAUUGUAAUUUUAAACAUUUAAUUAAAUGUAAUUUGGGGGAUAUUUUGAACUUUAAUAUUAGUGAUCAAAUGUAAAUGUUUUGAGGAUAUUUUUCUUGUUUUUUAAAAUCAAUUUUUAACCAAAUAUUAAACCCUUUAUUUGCCAGCCUGUCUGUGUCGUUGGCCUUAUGACGAGGAGUGCCUGUGGGUUAUCCUAAUCGUUGUCUUGGUCACUCUUGGUUGGGCCUGGUUGACUUUGCCAGUCAGCUCCUACAGUGAUCAGUUGGCCACCUCUAGAUCUGUGUUUGCCGGUCUAGACGUUAUCGGUGCACUUCCUUGAAGUGCCAGGUUGCAGCGAUCCCAGAGCGUUGAUAACGUGAUCUGAUCCCUAAGUUGAGACCUGUCUUCCUGUAACGCUUCCGAAUAAGAGGUCCGGUCGAAAAGAGUUGAAAGAUACGAAAUUAGGUGGUCGUUGGAAUCCUGAUCGCAGUAAAGUGGUCCUUGGUAACUGCUCGAGUAGAACAUGUCUGCAUCCGCCAAUAGUCCGCUAAUAGGGAGGGCUGUGCGAUUAAAGGCUUCCAUCGAUUGGGUAGUGUCCUUCAAGUGGGUGGCGAAGAGCCAGUCGGGCAUAUGUCAUGAAGGUUUCUCCGACCGAUUAAUGGUUUGCUGCUUGACUAGCCUAGGGAAAUAAUAAUAAAGGUAAAGUAAACUUUUUUAAUGACAUAUGGGGCACAAAAUAACUGGUGUCUUGUAAAUGUUCUGUUUUUUUAAAUAAAACUUCUCUACUUUAGUCUUUACUUUAAAAAUAUGUACUGUUUCCUUUUUUGUUGUUUUUUUGUUUGUUUUUUUUUCUUUUGUACUGAGCUCAGCAUAGACUAAUACUACCUUAAUGUUAAAAUCUGAAUUUCUUUUAGCAUUUUGCUUAAAAGCAAUAUGCUAUUUGCUUAUUCCGUGCCCUGACAUAGAUAAUUUUUGAAUUCUGAUAGAAUACAAGUGUGGUAAAUGCCAUGUUUGUACUUUAUCUAACAUCUUCUCUUUCAGUAGUCUUGUUUUUUUUAUAUCAUGUGAUUGUUUGUGUGUCCCCUUUCCUCUUCUUUGCUUAACACAAUUAUCUUGUGUUAAGGAUCUCAAAGAUUUCAUGAGACAAGCUGGGGAAGUAACGUUUGCGGAUGCACACCGACCUAAAUUAAAUGAAGGGGUGGUUGAGUUUGCCUCUUAUGGUGACUUAAAGAAUGCUAUUGAAAAACUUUCUGGAAAGGAAAUAAAUGGGAGAAAAAUAAAAUUAAUUGAAGGCAGCAAAAGGCACAGUAGGUCAAGAAGCAGGUCUCGAUCCCGGACCAGAAGUUCCUCUAGGUCUCGUAGCCGAUCCCGUUCCCGUAGUCGCAAAUCUUACAGCCGGUCAAGAAGCAGGAGCAGGAGCCGGAGCCGGAGCAAGUCCCGUUCUGUUAGUAGGUCUCCCGUGCCUGAGAAGAGCCAGAAACGUGGUUCUUCAAGUAGAUCUAAGUCUCCAGCAUCUGUGGAUCGCCAGAGGUCCCGGUCCCGAUCAAGGUCCAGAUCAGUUGACAGUGGCAAUUAAACUGUAAAUAACUUGCCCUGGGGGCCUUUUUUUAAAAAACAAAAACCACAAAAAUUCCCAAACCAUACUUGCUAAAAAUUCUGGUAAGUAUGUGCUUUUCUGUGGGGGUGGGAUUUGGAAGGGGGGUUGGGUUGGGCUGGAUAUCUUUGUAGAUGUGGACCACCAAGGGGUUGUUGAAAAC